AACGAACGCUGGCGGCAGGCUUAACACAUGCAAGUCGAGCGCCCCGCAAGGGGAGCGGCAGACGGGUGCGUAACGCGUGGGAAUCUACCCAUCUCUACGGAAUAACGCAUGGAAACGUGUGCUAAUACCGUAUACGUCCUUCGGGAGAAAGAUUUAUCGGGGAUGGAUGAGCCCGCGUUGGAUUAGCCAGUUGGUGGGGUAAAGGCCAACCAAGGCGACGAUCCAUAGCUGGUCUGAGAGGAUGAACAGACACCAUGGGACAGAGACACGGCCCAGACUCCUACGGGAGGCAGCAGUGGGGAAUAUUGGACAAUGGGCGCAAGCCUGAUCCAGCCAUGCCGCGUGAGUGAUGAAGGCCCUAGGGUUGUAAAGCUCUUUCACCGGUGAAGAUAAUGACGGUAACCGGAGAAGAAGCCCCGGCUAACUUCGUGCCAGCCGCCGCCGUAAGAC
rnacentral:rRNA from 1 species